ensembl:snRNA U5 U5 spliceosomal RNA
UGACUCUGGUUUCUCUUCAUAACGCACAAGUCUUUCGCCUUUUACUAAAGACUUCCGUGGAGAGGAACAGCAACGAGUUCAAGCUAUUUUUGGCAGGCUUUGCCUAACAGCGAAGCC